UACAGAGACUGCAAGCGUUAUUCGGAUUCACUGGGCGUAAAGGGUGCGCAGGCGGCCAAGUGUGUGAGGCGUGAAAGCCCGGGGCUUAACCCCGGAAUUGCACCUCAAACUACAUGGCUAGAGCAUCGGAGAGGGUAGCGGAAUUCACGGUGUAGCAGUGAAAUGCGUAGAUAUCGUGAGGAACACCAGAGGCGAAGGCGGCUACCUGGACAAUUGCUGACGCUCAGGCACGAAAGCGUGGGGAGCAAAAGGG
rnacentral:rRNA from 1 species